rnacentral:rRNA from 1 species
AGAGCGAACGCUGGCGGCAGGCCUAAUACAUGCAAGUCGAACGCACCUUCGGGUGAGUGGCGGACGGGUGAGUAACACGUGGGAACGUGCCUUUUGGUUCGGAAUAAUCCGGGGAAACCUGGCCUAAUACCGGAUGUGCCCUUCGGGGGAAAGAUUUAUCGCCAUUAGAGCGGCCCGCGUCUGAUUAGCUUGUUGGUGGGGUAAUGGCCCACCAAGGCUACGAUCAGUAGCUGGUCUGAGAGGAUGAUCAGCCACACUGGGACUGAGACACGGCCCAGACUCCUACGGGAGGCAGCAGUAGGGAAUCUUGCGCAAUGGGCGAAAGCCUGACGCAGCCAUGCCGCGUGAAUGAUGAAGGUCUUAGGAUUGUAAAAUUCUUUCAGCGGGGAAGAUAAUGACUGUACCCGCAGAAGAAGCUCCGGCUAACUUCGCGCCAGCAGCCGC